rnacentral:rRNA from 1 species
CCUACGGGAGGCAGCAGUGGGGAAUAUUGGACAAUGGGCGAAAGCCUGAUCCAGCAAUGCCGCGUGAGUGAAGAAGGUCUUCGGGUUGUAAAGCUCUUUUACCCGGGAAGAUAAUGACCGUACCGGGAGAAUAAGCCCCGGCUAACUCCGUGCCAGCAGCCGCGGUAAUACGGAGGGGGCUAGCGUUGUUCGGAAUCACUGGGCGUAAAGCGUGCGUAGGCGGCCAUUCAAGUCAGAGGUGAAAGCCCAGGGCUCAACCCUGGAACUGCCUUUGAAACUAGGUGGCUGGAACACGGGAGAGGUGAGUGGAAUUCCGAGUGUAGAGGUGAAAUUCGUAGAUAUUCGGAAGAACACCAGUGGCGAAGGCGGCUCACUGGACCGUUGUUGACGCUGAGGCACGAAAGCGUGGGGAGCAAACAGGAUUAGAUACCCUGGUAGUCCACGCCGUAAACGAUGAUAACUAGCUGUUGGGGCUCUUUGAGCUCCAGUGGCGCAGCUAACGCAUUAAGUUAUCCGCCUGGGGAGUACGGCCGCAAGGUUAAAACUUAAAGGAAUUGACGG